AACGCUAGCUACAGGCUUAACACAUGCAAGUCGAGGGGCAGCGGGAUUGAAGCUUGCUUCAAUUGCCGGCGACCGGCGCACGGGUGAGUAACGCGUAUCCAACCUUCCGUACACUCAGGGAUAGCCUUUCGAAAGAAAGAUUAAUACCUGAUGGUAUCUUAAGCACACAUGUAAUUAAGAUUAAAGAUUUAUCGGUGUACGAUGGGGAUGCGUUCCAUUAGGUAGUAGGCGGGGUAACGGCCCACCUAGCCAACGAUGGAUAGGGGUUCUGAGAGGAAGGUCCCCCACAUUGGAACUGAGACACGGUCCAAACUCCUACGGGAGGCAGCAGUGAGGAAUAUUGGUCAAUGGACGAGAGUCUGAACCAGCCAAGUAGCGUGAAGGAUGAAGGUCCUACGGAUUGUAAACUUCUUUUAUAAGGGAAUAAACCCUCCCACGUGUGGGAGCUUGUAUGUACCUUAUGAAUAAGCAUCGGCUAACUCCGUGCCAGCAGCCGCGGUAAUACGGAGGAUGCGAGCGUUAUCCGGAUUUAUUGGGUUUAAAGGGAGCGCAGACGGGUCGUUAAGUCAGCUGUGAAAGUUUGGGGCUCAACCUUAAAAUUGCAGUUGAUACUGGCGUCCUUGAGUGCGGUUGAGGUGUGCGGAAUUCGUGGUGUAGCGGUGAAAUGCUUAGAUAUCACGAAGAACUCCGAUUG
rnacentral:rRNA from 1 species